CUACAAAGGAAUUGACGGGGCCCGCACAAGCGGAGGAGCAUGUGGUUUAAUUCGAUGAUACGCGAGGAACCUUACCUGGGCUAGAACGCAUUCGGAAUCAGGCCGAAAGGUCUGCGCCAGCGAUGGCCGGUUGCGAGGUGCUGCAUGGUUGUCGUCAGCUCGUGCCGUGAGGUGUCGGGUUAAGUCCCAUAACGAGCGCAACCCCUACUGCUAGUUGCCAACGGGUGAAGCCGGGCACUCUGGCGGGACUGCCAUCGACAAGAUGGAGGAAGGUGGGGAUGACGUCAAGUCAUCAUGGCCCUUAUGUCCAGGGCGACACACGUGCUACAAUGGCCGGCACAGCGGGAAGCGAGGCAGUGAUGCCAAGCGGAUCCCUUAAAGCCGGUCUCAGUUCGGAUUGAAGUCUGCAACUCGACUUCAUGAAGCUGGAAUCGCUAGUAAUCGCAGAUCAGCCAAGCUGCGGUGAAUACGUUCCCGGGCCUU
rnacentral:rRNA from 1 species